UACAGAGGGUGCAAGCGUUAAUCGGACUUACUGGGCGUAAAGCGUGCGUAGACGGUUGCGUAAGUCAGAUGUGAAAGCCCCGGGCUCAACCUGGGAAUUGCAUUUGAGACUGCGUAGCUAGGGUGCGGAAGAGGGAAGCGGAAUUUCCGGUGUAGCGGUGAAAUGCGUAGAUAUCGGAAGGAACACCAGUGGCGAAAGCGGCUUCCUGGUCCAGCACCGACGUUCAGGCACGAAAGCGUGGGGAGCAAACAGG
rnacentral:rRNA from 1 species